GCCGAAGAAAAAGGGGGAAACAAGGGUCAGGCACGUGGUUCACAGAGCGCAUGAGAUACGAGCAAAUUAGGCAAAGAACUCCCCGAGCAUUGGAACCCCUUGAGGAAGACCUGACUAAAAGCCUUUGGGCCUC